AUGUCAAAAUCUCUAUCAUUUCGGUUGCAAGUAAGCUCCAUAAUGGAGAUAAUGACCAAAAAGGCAAUAGAAGAAAUAUGCAAAAUUGUUGACAGCGAUUUUGCCUUUUUGCGACAAGAACUGUCUCGGGUCAUGGGUGAAAAUACAGUUCUUAAAGACCAAAUGCUCUGUCUCGGGAGCGAAAGCCAUGAAGAAAGCACGCGCAUCACAAAGGAAGAAGCGCGCGCUGGCUCCAAAAUAUAUCGCUCUAUUUGCGUUCAAACCGAAGAUGGAGCGCAGCCCUCUAUCAAAGGGAUAUUUGGAAAGGAGUGGUGUUCCAGUUUGUGGGAUCGGAGGAACGAGUCCAGAGAAGACGAGCUGGCGAUCGAUGUCGACCUGUACAGUGUGUCGCCUCAUGAGCACAAAGAACAAGAGCACUCCAACCUGGUCAUAAUCAAAGAAGAGUGUUUUGAAGUGGACACUUAUCCCAGUUACACAGGUAAUUGUUCAAAACUUCUAGCAGAUCUUUAA
ensembl:lncRNA